rnacentral:rRNA from 1 species
AUUGAACGCUGGCGGCAGGCCUAACACAUGCAAGUCGAACGAGUGGCGGACGGGUGAGUAAUGUCUGGGAAACUGCCUGAGGGAGGGGGAUAACUACUGGAAACGGUAGCUAAUACCGCAUACCAUCAGAUGUGCCCAGAUGGGAUUAGCUUGUUGGUGGGGAAACGGCUCCCCAGGGCGACGAUCCCUAGCUGGUCUGAGAGGAGGACCCGCCACACUGGAACUGAGACAUGGUCCAGGCUCCGACGGGAGGCAGCAGUGGGGAAUAUUGGACAAUGGGCGAAAGCCUGAUGCAGCCAUGCCGCGUGUAUGAAGAGGGCCUUCGGGUUGUAAAGUACUUUCAGCGGGGAGGCGUUACCCGCAGAAGAAGCACCGGUUAAUUCCGUGCCAGAAGCCGCGUAAGAC